CUGGUAGCGUGGAUUAGGCGAUGCAAGUCGAACGGGAUCGGGAGGGUAGCAUAUUCGUCCCGUGAGAGUGGCGGAUUGGGAGGAACACGUGAGCAACCGUGCCCUGGAGAUGGGGAAAACCGUUGGAAACGACGGCUAAUACCGAAUGUUGCGCCGGAGGGCAUCCUCCGAGCGCGGAAGGGGCCGGCAAGGCUCCCGCUCCGGGAUGGGCUCGCGCACCAUCAGCUAGUUGGCGGGGUAACGGCCCACCAAGGGCUCACGGUUAGCUGGUCUGAGAGGAUGGCCAGCCCCCACUGGGACUGAGAUACUGCCCAGACUCCUACGGGAGGCUGCAGUCGAGGAUCAUUUGCAAUGGGCGAAAGCCUGACAAUGCGACGCUGCGUGGAGGAUUGGAGGCCUUCGGGUUGUAAACUCCUGUCAUGGGGGAACAGGCGAGGAUACCUAACACGUAUCUUAGUUGAGUGUACCCCAAGAGGAAUUGGCGGCUAACUCUGUGCCAGCAGCCGC
rnacentral:rRNA from 1 species